rnacentral:rRNA from 1 species
UACGUAGGGUGCAAGCGUUGUCCGGAAUUAUUGGGCGUAAAGAGCUUGUAGGCGGUUUGUCGCGUCUGCUGUGAAAUUUCGGGGCUCAACCCCGGACUUGCAGUGGGUACGGGCAGACUAGAGUGUGGUAGGGGAGACUGGAAGUUCCUGGUGUAGCGGUGAAAUGCGCAGAUAUCAGGAGGAACACCGAUGGCGAAGGCAGGUCUCUGGGCCACUACUGACGCUGAGAAGCGAAAGCAUGGGGAGCGAACAGG